rnacentral:lncRNA from 1 species
ACUUGCUCAGCAUGGGUGGAGUCCUGGGUUUACCUCAGCAUUAAAAAGCAAACAGAAAAACCCCUGGGUCAGUGAGAUGGGUCGGCAGGUAAAGAUGCUUGCUGCCAAGCCUUAAGGCCAAAGUUCAAUCCCUAAGACCUAAGGGUAGGAAGAGAACAGAUUCCUGCAAGUUGUUCUCUCUGUCUCUCUCUGUCUGUCUCUCCAUCCAUCCAUCCAUCCAUCCAUCCAUCCAUCCAUCCAUCUAUGGCUGACACUAGACCACCAGCCCAUUCAUUCAACACAACUACUCCCGGACGGGACCCUUAUUUUACAGACCAAGAGACAGAAGCACCGAGGAGCAAAUGUACCCCUAUUGCUCUGGCUGGCCAGUUGUGAUGGUUUACAUCUGUAGCAUCUGUCCUUUGGGGACAGAGACAGGAGGAUCAUUAAUUUGAGGCCAGACUGGGUUACCUAGUGAGGCCUCUUGUCAAACAACAACACACAAAUGUCAGAUUGACAGCAAGUGGGUGAGCUGAGGAUGUCAUGUGGAAAAAAAAAUACACUUUCUAUAUAGUUAUGGCUAGCCUGAAACUUAUUACGUAGAUCGGGCUGGCCUUGGGUUCAAAGAGUCCUGCUUCUGCCCCUGAGAGCCGGGGUGUGUGACACAUUUUUUGUUUUGUUUUUUUUUUUUAGACAAGGGAUCUCACUAUAUACCCUUGGCUGACCUAGAACUCACAGACAUCCCACCUGCCUGCACUUCCUUAGUGCUGUUCUGUUUUUUAUAGUUUUUGAGACAUGGUCUCAUGUAGCACAGGCUAGCCUCUUGUUUAAAAUUUAAUACGUUUCAUGUGUGUGUGUGUGUGCACAUGCGUGUGUGCAUACACAUAUAUGUAGAAGUAAUUUCAAAAAUUACUUCUCUCCUGCUUUGUGGGUCCAGAGAUGACUCAGAGUUUAUCUUUGGCCAUGGCGAGAGGCACCCUUAUGCACUGAGCUGCACCUCUGGCCCUCAGGCUGGCUGGCCUCUUAUCCACUCUGUCCCUGAGGGUGACCUUGGAGUGCUCCUCCUUCUCACAGUGGAGCAGUGGCAUUCCAGGGAUGUGCCACCAUACCUGGCUUCAGCAUCCUUUCUGGAAUCAUGAAAAUGUCCUGAAAUUGAUUAAGGUGAUGUUUCAAAACUCUAGGAGUCUAUUUUAAGAAGUGAAGUAGGUGGAUCGGAUGGUAUGGGAAUUACAGUGCAGUGAUGAUGUUGCCAAAAAAAGGUCGUUUUAACUUAGGGUGACCCUUUCUCUAAUCCAGUGCCUAUCAACAGAAUGGAUGCGCGGCACCCUUACCACGAUACACUUUUUUUCUUCAUUAUUAUCUGAAUGUGACUAGAACUUGCUCACCUGCGAGACACUGUACUAAGCACCUCCCAGGAUUUUCCAGUUUGGUCCUCCUGGCAAAUCUAUUUUUUAUUUUACUGAACAGGAAAACAUAUAAUGCAAACAGCCAUAUAAUAAAUGACGACGUCUCAAUGCCAGGAUGUCCUGGGCCAUUACAAGUUGCCAAGCCCUGGGCUGACACCUGGACCACCAGCCCGUUCAUUCAACGCUGACAACUACUCCGGGAUGGGACCCUUAUUUUACAGACCAAGAGACACAAGCACCGAGGAGCAAAUGUACCCUUAUAGCUCUGGCUGGACAGUUGUGAUGGUUUACAUCUGUAGCGUCCGUCCUUUGGGGGCAGAGACAGGAGGAUUAUUAAUUUGAAGCCAGACUGGGUUACCUAGUGAGACCUCAUGUCAAACAACAACACACAAAUGUCAGAUUGACCGCAAGUGGGUGAGCUGAGGAUGUCAGACAUAUUCAUGAUGUCAUUAUUUCUAUCAUAAACCACUAUACCAUGUUACCCACCUCUUUAAAGAACACACAAUAAACCUAUUAAUU